rnacentral:rRNA from 1 species
GGCCAGAGGAGGUAGUAAAGACAAAUAUCGAUACAGAACUCAAUUGAGGUACUGUAAUCGAAAUGAGUGCAUUAUAAAUCCUACAACGAGGAUCUAUUGGAGGGCAAGUCUGGUGCCAGCAGCCGCGGUAACUCCAGCUCCAAUAGCAUAUAUUAAAAUUGCUGCAGUUAAAAAGCUCGUAGUUGGAUCUGGGUUCUGGUCUGGAAUAUCCAGGGUAACGGUUUAAAUUUAUUCUGUUGCUCUUGGAAUAUCUAGGCCGAAUCUUCCAGCUGUGUCUAUGGGGUACUUCGGUAUCUCAUGGAUAGUGGCGUUGUCUGCGUUUGCUUCACAGCUUACCAGCUUCGUCUCUAUGCACUGCUAAUGCCCUUAACCGGGUGUUCAGUGUGGACAGCACGUUUACUUUGAACAAAUUUGAGUGCUCAAAGCAGGCCUAUGUU